UGGGGAAUUUUGGACAAUGGGCGAAAGCCUGAUCCAGCAAUGCCGCGUGUGUGAAGAAGGCCUUCGGGUGGUAAAGCACUUUUGUACGGAAAGAAAUGGCUCUGGUUAAUACCUGGGGUCGAUGACGGUACCGGAAGAAUAAGGACCGGCUAACUACGUGCCAGCAGCCGCGGUAAUACGUAGGGUACAAGCGUUAAUCGGAAUUACUGGGCGUAAAGCGUGCGCAGGCGGUUGUGCAAGACCGAUGUGAAAUCCCCGAGCUUAACUUGGGAAUUGCAUUGGUGACUGCACGGCUAGAGUGUGUCAGAGGGGGGUAGAAUUCCACGUGUAGCAGUGACAUGCGUAGAGAUGUGGAGGAAUACCGAUGGCGAAGGCAGCCCCCUGGGAUAACACUGACGCUCAUGCACGAAAGCGUGGGGAGCAAACAGG
rnacentral:rRNA from 1 species